UGUUAGUGGCAGACGGGUGAGUAAUGCGUAGGAAUCUACCUAGUAGUACGGAAUAGCCAUUAGAAAUGGUGGGUAAUACUGUAUAAUCCCCGAGGGGGAAAGAUUUAUCGCUAUUAGAUGAGCCUACGUUAGAUUAGCUAGUUGGUGAGGUAAUGGCUUACCAAGGCUAUGAUCUAUAGCUGGUCUGAGAGGACGAUCAGCCACACUGGAACUGAGAUACGGUCCAGACUCCUACGGGAGGCAGCAGUGGGGAAUAUUGGACAAUGGGCGAAAGCCUGAUCCAGCUAUGCCGCGUGAGUGAAGAAGGCCUUCGGGUUGUAAAACUCUUUCAA
rnacentral:rRNA from 1 species